UACGUAGGGGGCUAGCGUUGUCCGGAAUCAUUGGGCGUAAAGCGCGUGUAGGCGGUCCGGUAAGUCCGCUGUGAAAGUCGGGGGGCUCAACCCUCGGAUGCCGGUGGAUACUGUCGGGCUUGAGUACGGAAGAGGCGAGUGGAAUUCCUGGUGUAGCGGUGAAAAUGCGCAGAUAUCAGGAGGAACACCUAUUGCGAAGGCAGCUCGCUGGGACGUAACUGACGCUGGAGACGCGAAAGCGUGGGGAGCAAACAGG
rnacentral:rRNA from 1 species